GAAAUGCGAUAAUUAAUGUGAAUUGCAGAAUUCAGUGAAUCAUCGAGUCUUUGAACGCACAUUGCGCCCCCUGGUAUUCAGGGGGGCAUGCCUGUCCGAGCGUCAUUGCUGCCCUCAAGCACGGCUUGUGUGUUGGGCUUCCGUCCCUGGCAACGGGGACGGGCCCAAAAGGCAGUGGCGGCACCAUGUCUGGUCCUCGAGCGUAUGGGGCUUUGUCACCCGCUCCCGUAGGUCCAGCUGGCAGCUAGCCUCGCAACCAAUCUUUUUAACCAGGUUGACCUCGGAUCAGGUAGGGAUACCCGCUGAACUUCAGC
rnacentral:misc_RNA from 1 species